AGGCUAUUUUUAUGCUAUACUAGCAACCAAACAGUACCCAUAACAAGAGUGAAAAAAACCCAAAAGAAGAACAGUAGAGGAUGACGGCAGAGAGAUCGUGGAGAGAGAGAGAGAGAGAGUGAGUGAAAGAAAGAGAGAGUAAAAGGCAAAAAUGGGGGGAGGAAUGGAGGUGAACAAGAACAGGUUCAUAUAAGAGUGGGGAUCAGCAAGAGAGAACCUUGAAUACAACUUUCGCUGGACUCGCUGAAACUUUUUCUACGUGGGCUUCUUCGGCAUCGCUAAUCCCGUCUUGGUCUAAAAGGGCAUCGUCAGCGAAUUCAUGAUGAUUUAAGGGAUAUUGUAGACCAAGUUCCAGAAGGUUGCCGUGUCACAAUUGUAUUGGAUUCAUGUCACAGCCAUUGUCUGAUUGAUGGAGCUAAAGAGCAGAUAGGCGAGACAAAUCAUCAACAUGGUUAUGGCUAUGGUGGACUGAAAAAUUGAUCCUGUAUAAAAUUGAAGUAUUGUGGAAUUCAUUUUCCCUCCAAGAUGUGUCACUGUAACAGUUGGGGAGAACAGGAGGAAGAGAAAUUAGAUGAUAAAGAGAUUAAUGGGUACCGAAGGCAUGGCCAUGCUAAGAAUCUGAAUAGUAGAUCCUUAAGACUCUCAAGUCUCAAAGAGUUGCUGAAUGAAAAAACUGAAAAACCUGACAUAUGUUGGAAAUCUGAGGCCGACACUGUUCGAAAUCUUUAGAGACGAAGGCAGUCCUAAGGUCAAGAAGUUCAUGAAGGAGUACAAAGACAAAUCCAGCAACAGUGGAGGCGGCAGCAGCAGCUAAUUUGCAGGAGCGUACAUGGGGAUGGUGGGGAGUAAAGCUCAAGAGUUUCUGAAACUGAGAUGGAGCUUGAGAAAGCUGAUCUGUAUAAUCCAAAACAUGCAUUAACAGCGCAAAUAGUGGAAAAGUGUUCACUACUUGCUAAAGGUGGGAUUCUGAUCAGUUGCUGCCAGACACACACAAUUUCUGGAGAUGUGGUUCUUUCGGGAAAAGAUGAUGUUCCUUGUGGAGCUUUUUAGCAAUGCAAUCCAGAACAUAAUUGCUGAAUCAGACGGUCAUCUUAUCAACAGGAAACUUGUUUUCAAGGCUAGGAAAUUUCUCAAGACUAAAGGAUUAGAUCAGCAACCUGGUAUCUACUGCAAUGACGAUCUUGUCAAUGCCCUUUUGCUGUGCUGAUGAUCCCAUCAUCAUCUCCAAUUAUGUACCAUGCUUGUUGAUUAAUUUUCAUGUUUUAUUUUGUGUGAUAUUUAUCUUCCUUUCUUUUGUUUCACAUCUCAUAAUUAUAUGUAAACUGCAUCUUUCCUAAAAUUAUAUGCCUUCAAUAUGUUAACUAAUAAUUAAUUAAGGCCUA